CAGUGAGGAAUAUUGCGCAAUGGGCGAAAGCCUGACGCAGCAACGCCGCGUGAGGGACGAAGGCCUUCGGGUCGUAAACCUCUUUUCCGGGGGACGAGACAAGGACGGUACCCUGGGAAUAAGUCUCGGCUAACUACGUGCCAGCAGCCGCGGUAAAACGUAGGAGGGGAGCGUUAUCCGGAUUUACUGGGCGUAAAGCGCACGCAGGUGGCACAGCAAGUUGGUUGUGAAAGCUCCUGGCUUAACUGGGAGAGGCCAAUCGAAACUGCUGAGCUUGAGGUUGGAAGAGGGGUGCGGAAUUCCCGGUGUAGCGGUGGAAUGCGUAGAUAUCGGGAGGAACACCAGUGGCGAAGGCGGCACCCUGGUCCACACCUGACGCUGAGGUGCGAAAGCGUGGGGAGUAAACAGGAUUAGAUACCCUGGUAAUCCACGCCGUAAACGAUGUCAACUGGGUGUCGGUAGUGUUACACUAUCGGUGCCGAAGCUAACGCGUUAAGUUGACCGCCUGGGGACUACGGCCGCAAGGCUA
rnacentral:rRNA from 1 species